rnacentral:rRNA from 1 species
GGGGAAUUGUUCGCAAUGGGCGCAAGCCUGACGACGCAACGCCGCGUGGAGGAUGAAGAUCUUCGGGUCGUAAACUCCUUUCGAUCGAGACGAAUUCCUCCGGGGUGAACAAUCCCUGAGGUUGACGGUACCGAGAGAAGAAGCCCCGGCUAACUCCGUGCCAGCAGCCGCGGUAAUACGGAGGGGGCUAGCGUUGUUCGGAAUUACUGGGCGUAAAGCGUACGUAGGCGGCUUUGUAAGUUAGAGGUGAAAGCCCGGAGCUUAACUCCGGAAUUGCCUUUAAGACUGCAUCGCUUGAAUCAUGGAGAGGUGAGUGGAAUUCCGAGUGUAGAGGUGAAAUUCGUAGAUAUUCGGAAGAACACCAGUGGCGAAGGCGACUCACUGGACAUGUAUUGACGCUGAGGUACGAAAGCGUGGGGAGCAAA